rnacentral:lncRNA from 1 species
GGUGUUGCUUGCUUUCUUGAUCAAUCCUUUUGAUUGCUUCAACUAAGCAUCUCAAAUGUUCUUUAGAUCACCACUUCCAUGUUAGCCUUCCAAGCACCACACUUGGUUUACCCACUCCUCUGGCGGCACGCCCCUCACAUAGGCAGAAGUGACCUCUCUCAAAAGAACCAUUCUUGACACUUACUUGAAUUGCAUUUAUUGAUUGAUUCAAGUGAUGGACUUAAUAUGAUGAGUAACCAUG